CUGGGUGGCCUAGAAAUAACUAAGGAGGAGAAACUUUCAAAAGGAUGUAUUAUUAAGAGUGUUAGAUAAACCCUAAAGGUCUCCUUAACUAUUGUUUUAUAGUAAUCUGGCCUAUAAGAAGAUUUGACACUACUUCGGUAUGUGGUUUCUUUUCUAAUGAAUUAAGACGAGAUGAAGCUAAUUAUUUUCUGUGGCCCAAGAAAAUCUUAGAGACACAUGUGUGUAAUAUCUGAAAACGGCAAUAGAAUUGAGGCAUAUAUGCAGGGAUGGGAAAUAUAACUUAAAAUCUCCACAAACUACUUGAGUUCACCUCAUUCCCGGAACGGCAUUAAGGAAGAGAAUUGGGAACACAUGGAGAAUGGAAAGCUGCAAACCUAAACAUCUACAGAACGUGGAAAGAACUAGGUGCAGACAAAGCUUGCAAAAGCUACACAAAAAGGACUCAAUAAAAAAAGAGAGAUGGCCUUGCUGAGAAGGUA
rnacentral:lncRNA from 1 species